UACGUAGGGUGCAAGCGUUGUCCGGAAUUAUUGGGCGUAAAGAGCUCGUAGGCGGUUCGUCGCGUCGGCUGUGAAAACCUGAGGCUCAACCUCAGGCCUGCAGUCGAUACGGGCGGACUUGAGUACUGCAGGGGAGACUGGAAUUCCUGGUGUAGCGGUGAAAUGCGCAGAUAUCAGGAGGAACACCGGUGGCGAAGGCGGGUCUCUGGGCAUUAACUGACGCUGAGGAGCGAAAGCAUGGGGAGCGAACAGG
rnacentral:rRNA from 1 species